rnacentral:rRNA from 1 species
GAUGAACGCUGGCGGCGUGCCUAAUACAUGCAAGUCGAACGGGGAGUAUUAAUUUCGAUUUUUUACUCCUAGUGGCGAACGGGUGAGUAACGCGUUGGUGACCUGCCCCGAAGAGGGGGACAACAGCUCGAAAGGGCUGCUAAUACCCCAUGUGGUCGUACAGGUUAGAGGCUGAACGACUAAAGGAGCAAUCCACUUCGGGAGGGGCCUGCGUCCCAUCAGCUAGUUGGUAAGGUAACGGCCUACCAAGGCGAAGACGGGUAGGGGGCCUGAGAGGGUGGCCCCCCACACUGGCACUGAAACACGGGCCAGACACCUACGGGUGGCAGCAGUAGGGAAUAUUGCACAAUGGGCGAAAGCCUGAUGCAGCAACGCCGCGUGCGCGAAGAAGGCCUUCGGGUUGUAAAGCGCUUUUCUGGAGGAAGAGGAAGGACGGUACUCCAGGAAUAAGGAUCGGCUAACUACGUG